AAUAAGUGUAGUUUUAGCACUAUUCAUGUUCAACGUUUGACCGUUCGUCUUAUUUGAAAAAAAAAUUAUGAUUAGUAUUUUUAUUGUUAUUAGAUGUAAAAAUAUGAAUAGUACUUUAUGUGUGACUAUUUUUUUUAAUAUUUUUUAUAAAUUUUUCAAAUAAGACGGAUGAUCAAAGCGCUAAACACAGAUAUUUAUGGCUGUAUUUAUU
rfam:Oryza glumipatula chromosome 6, whole genome shotgun sequence.